rnacentral:rRNA from 1 species
AUGUCGUGGCUCCGUAAUGCGGUGCACCGCGCCGUCGAGGCGGGCGGCGGCGGCAUCUCCCUCACCACCCGCACCGUCCGGACCGGUCUCGGCUACGCCGGGCAGGCCGUCGUCGGCGGCGCCAGGCUCAUCAACGGCAUCGGGAAUCGGUACUACAAGAGCUUGAAGCUGACGGCCAAGAGGCUGGAGGAGGACGCGCUCUCCUGCAGAGGGGAGGAGAGGGUGCAGCUGCUGCGUCAGUGGCUCGUCGAUCUCAAGGAGACGGAGCGCGCCGCCUCGUCGAUGCCUGUCGACGGUCCCAAUCAAGCGGCGCCAGUCUUGGAUCUGUACGUGGAUUACGAGAAAGCGGAUGAGCCCAUGACCUUUUUCCAUGUCUUCCUCUACAGUCAAGCGCUCGAGUGCAUUGUUCCGUCCAUGAUUCAUGAAGUUCCAACUGAGGAAGAAGUUUCACUACUCUCGGAAAUUUUCGGAAUGUGUCUUAACGGAGGGGAGGAUGUGCACAAUACACUUCUGAGCAGCAUAUGUGACUUGGCAGACUUAUUUUCGUGUUACAGUGAUGAAGUAUUGGCAAAACGUGAUGAACUGCUUCAGUUUGCUCAAUGUGCUAUCUCAGGAUUAAAAAUAAAUUCCGAAAUUUCAAGAUUGGAUAAUGAGAUCAUGCAGCUGCAACAAGAGAUAAAUGCAAUUGAUGCUGUGCGAGUUAACACAACCAGGAACCGUAAUAAAGCAUCUCCGAGGGUCCCUGAGGACUACAAAACUGCAGUUGAUGAGGUUCGUCUAUGCUCCAGAAUGGAAGACCUUGUAUUAAAGAAGAAAUCAAUACACCCUGGCGACUCACUGGAGACUCAUUUUCAGAAGGUCGAUAAGCUGAAGGUUUUGUCAGAAUCCCUUGCAAAUUCGUCCGCCAAAGCAGAAAAGCGUAUAAUGGAAAAUAGGCUGCAGAGGGAAGAAUCUCUUAGCUUCAAAAUUACGAAAACAAAUGAAGUUAGUAUAACUGAAAAGGAAUUAGAAGGUGAGAUCUCUGGACUCCAGAAGCGAAGGGGUCAACUUGAGGUAGAACUAAGCAAAGUAAAUACGAAACUGAAUGUGACUGUCGUGAAGCUUAAAAAAACUAGAGAGGAGAAAGAUCAAUUUGAUGAAGCCAGCAAUCAGAUAGUGCUACACUUGAAAGCAAAGGAAGAUGAACUAUCAAGAUCUGUUGCUUCCUCCAAAGUAGAAGCAAGCACUGUCCGAGCUUGGAUCAACUUUUUAGAAGAUACAUGGAAGUUGCAGUCUUUAUAUGAAGAAAUAAAGGAAAAACAGGCCAAUGAUGAACUGGAUAGAUGUGGAGUCUGCUUUGUGAAUUUGAUUAAGCAUCAUGUUUCCGCAUGCGUGGACGAGCUGAAUACCUCUGUAGAUUGUAUAAAGACCUUUGUUGACAACUUGAAAAUUUUCAGUGACGGAUCAGUAUCAACGGAUGAUGGAGGUCUGUCAAAGCAAUCGAACCCACGUAAAUACCUCGAGGAAGAAUAUUUGGAAACUGAGAAAAAGGUGGUAACCGCAUUCAGUUUAGCUGAUAAUAUCAGAGCAUUGACAUUCUCAAAUCCAGAGCGUAAAACCAGGCUAGAUGACCCUGAGGUGAAAAAUCUGUUUGCCAGCAUCGACAGGCUGCGGGUCGAAUUCGAGUCGGUUCCACGGCCAGUACUGCAGAUCGAGAUCAACGAAAAAGAAGAGGGAUCGAGACGAACCCGAUCGCCCUCCUCCAAGGGCGGCGGCGGCGGCACGCCAACCCAUUCAAGAACCGAGUCCCCAAUCGCCGCCCAGCUCAGGACGCGGCUACCGUCGGAGUCGGACUCGGAGCCGGGGAAGUUCGACCAAGAUUACAGGGAAUACGGGGCCGACGACAUCGGCGGGUGGGAGUUUGAUGAUCUUGAAGGCGAGCUGCGGUCUGGCUUCUAG